AUGUCGUGGUCAUCAAGCGGUUCUUCUGCUCCUGGAUUCCGGCGAGCGUCGGGAAGGACGGACACGGAUGCGAGGUCGCCGGUGCGCUAUCGUGAGCAGCCUAUGGCGUACGAGCCGGCGAAGUUAUGCCACUGCAAUCCGCGGCGGAAAGCACCGAGAUGGAUUUCUUGGAGCCGUCAGAACCCGGGGAGGAGGUAUUACACGUGCGUCAAUGCAGUGGUUAGCCCCGAUUUUUCUGCUCAUUCUUCUGUUCUUCCUCAUCCCCUCAUUCUGAUUUAUUUCUUUUGUUCAAUUGCGUAG
rnacentral:rRNA from 1 species